rnacentral:tRNA from 1 species
ACCUGGCUAGCUCAGUUGGAAGAGCCUGUGACUCUUGCUCUCAGAGUCAUGAGUUCGAGCUCCAUGUUGGGUG